rnacentral:rRNA from 1 species
UACGAAGGGGGCUAGCGUUGCUCGGAAUUACUGGGCGUAAAGCGCACGUAGGCGGCUUUUUAAGUCGGGGGUGAAAUCCUGGAGCUCAACUCCAGAACUGCCUUUGAUACUGGCGAUCUCGAGUCCGGGAGAGGUGAGUGGAACUGCGAGUGUAGAGGUGAAAUUCGUAGAUAUUCGCAAGAACACCAGUGGCGAAGGCGGCUCACUGGCCCGGUACUGACGCUGAGGUGCGAAAGCGUGGGGAGCAAACAGG